UGGGGAAUAUUGCACAAUGGGCGAAAGCCUGAUGCAGCAACGCCGCGUGAAGGAAGACGGUUUUCGGAUUGUAAACUUCUAUCAAUAGGGAAGAAAGAAAUGACGGUACCUAAAUAAGAAGCCCCGGCUAACUACGUGCCAGCAGCCGCGGUAAUACGUAGGGGGCAAGCGUUAUCCGGAAUUACUGGGUGUAAAGGGAGAGUAGGCGGCAAGGUAAGCGAUAUGUGAAAGCCUUAAGCUUAACUUAAGGAUUGCAUAACGAACUAUCUAGCUAGAGUACAGG
rnacentral:rRNA from 1 species